AUACGAAGGGUGCAAGCGUUAAUCGGAAUUACUGGGCGUAAAGCGCGCGUAGGUGGUUUUGUAAGUUGGAGGUGAAAGCCCCGGGCUCAACCUGGGAAUUGCCUCCAAAACUGCAUGACUAGAGUACGGUAGAGGGUAGUGGAAUUUCCUGUGUAGCGGUGAAAUGCGUAGAUAUAGGAAGGAACACCAGUGGCGAAGGCGACUACCGGGACUGAUACUGACACUGAGGGGCGAAAGCGUGGGGAGCAAACAGGAUUAGAUCCCCUGGUAGUCCACGCCGUAAACGAUGUCAACUAGCCGUUGGGAUCCUUGAGAUCUUAGUGGCGCAGCUAACGCAUUAAGUUGACCGCCUGGGGAGUACGGCCGCAAGGUUAAAACUCAAAUGAAUUGACGGGG
rnacentral:rRNA from 1 species